rnacentral:rRNA from 1 species
CCUAUCACGAUCACGAGGACGUGAAACCGGUAGGAUGGAAACGGAUAGAGCCAACGAACAAGCCCGUAUUCAGCUAGUCGGCUGCGUGCGGCAUGCCUGUGCGUCCCUUUACGGUGGCUGGGUGGUUGGCGGAUUGCGGUGGGUUAUGGAUUUUCCGGGGAAGGGGGCUUAAGGCUAGGGGGAAAUCCUGGCAAACGUCUAAAAAAGGCCCCCCCUCCGGACAUAAAACUAAUGGCGGGGAAUAAGGGCUUUCCUGUGCGUAUAUAAAACGGACAAGUGCAUUCCCGCCUUCCCGUCCUCCGGUCGGUCCCUUUGGCGGUCCCAUGCGACUUGGGCUUGGGGUCUGUCUUGGGGGCGUGGCGGUGCCCUGUCCGAACCUCCGUGUAGAAGUUGGUCAUCUCUCCGACCCGUCUUGAUACACGGACGAACGAGUCUAGCGUAUACGCGAGUCAUUGGUUGGAAGAAACAUAGGCGUAAUGAAAGUGAAGGUUCCGCACGGGACUGGUAUGCGAUCCGUUGAGCUUCGGUUUAGCGGAGCAACAUAGCCCCGUCUCGACUGCUUGCUUUGGGGCGGAGGUAGAGCGUAUUCACUGGUACCCGACCGAUGGUGAACUAUGCCUGACCAGGAUGAAUCCAGACGAAACUCUGGUGGAGGUCCGAACCGCUUCUGACGUGCAAAUCGAUCGUCUGACUUGCGUAUAGGGGCGAAAGAAUAAUCGAACCAUCAUUAGGGGGGGUCCCAAAACAAAAAAAAAAAAGCCCGGGGGAGAAAAAU